GACGUAGGGGGCGAGCGUUGUCCGGAUUUAUUGGGCGUAAAGCGUGCGUAGGCGGCUGCGCAAGUCGGGUGUGAAACCCCGGGGCUCAACCCCGGAACUGGCAUCCGAUACUGCGUGGCUAGAGGUAGGUAGGGGAGAUCGGAAUUCCUGGUGUAGCGGUGAAAUGCGCAGAUAUCAGGAGGAACACCGGUGGCGAAGGCGGAUCUCUGGGCCUUACCUGACGCUCAGGCACGAAAGCUAGGGGAGCGAACGGG
rnacentral:rRNA from 1 species